GUUAACCUUGACAUAGGAACACAGCAAAUGUAGGACAGUUCACAAUCAACGAAAUUAUCAUCUGGUCUGUAAUAUAAUCUCAGUACAGUUUCGCGAACGAGUCAAUGAUAAGCUUAUAACGUCUUCGUGGAAUAAUUGUGCCUAAUUAACAAGUUGGAACAAAUAAACGGACGCAAUAAUAGAUCGACUUUUAAUGAUUCUUUUAUAAUGGUAAUUUAAACAUUGAGUGCCUGUACUUGGAGAAAUGUGCAAUUGCAUUUGCUGCGCAUUGACAUUCCACGUAAACGAGUAUCUAUAAUUAGUCGGUAUCCCUUAUAUUAUCUCGUAUUUUAUUGUGAAAGAAUUUGUACACACGUAGAAUACGAAAAAAGAUGAUACGAGCCGUGAAUGCGAAAUUUGUUGUAAUUCACAUCAAACAAUAAGCAGAUGAAGCCUUCUCCAAGUUCAAUGCGACGGUAAGACGCAUGUCGUUUGUAUACGAAAAUUCUAUGGCGACAUGAACUAAUCAGUGAAACAUAAUAUUUUCGAUAAAUCAUGACGCGAUAAGUAUAAUCUUUACUUUGACAUUUGCUUUUCUCACGCGAAAGAUUAGAAACGUUAGUAAAACGAAAACUUCGUUAAAUUUGAAUACAGCUUUUUAAAGCAACGAAUUUGGUCCAAUUGUUUCGUUUGAAAAAUAGGAAAAAAAAAAUCAAACGGAACUCGUCAAUUUCUGUGGACAGUAUAAUAUGAAACAAUGAGAAGUAAAUGUGUAAAUGUAUACGUGUUUACAAGUAUACCAUUCAAUAUAUUUUUUUGCCGGGUGGUAGGAUCGUGUUGGUCUAUAAAACAGCAGCAAGCAUCCAGCAUCACUUCAUUGCGAGAGUGUACUUCUUACCGCGAGUACAGCUCAAAUUCUUUCGUAAGUCUGAAAAAAAAAAAAAAAAAGAAAAGAAAAAUGUAAAUAGUUGGAUAUUGCGUAAAAAUAAAUUCUUGCCGGUUCAGUCAAUUACGUUUGAACAGCGAAGAAAAGUUGAAGGAGGAAGUGUCGCUAAUCAAUUUGUUCAGAAAGUGUGAAUUUCGAAAGUAAAAAUACAAGACUACCGAAUACACAUUAUACGUGAUAUCCGUUAGCCCUUAAAGCGAAGAAUUUCGAAAUAGCGCAAACAAAAUGAAAAUUUUGUUCGUAUUUUUAUUGUUGAUUGCCGCUGGGUCUGCAGCCCCUUGGGUUGAAAUUCUUUUCGGUAAACAACCAGAUUAUGAUUAUCAACUACCACCGAGUUACAAGAAUCAACAAUACAGACGGCGACAAGGGAAAGGAGGGAAGGAAAGGUGGAAAGAGAUUUGUAGGACGAUAAAUCCCAAUCCUUACGCAUUUCCGGGUCAAGUUCCCUAUCCUUCUGCACCAGUUUGUCCUUGGUAACCAGAUAAAUUCGUUCAACGAAGGUAUGAAGCAUGAACGAUUGAACUACAUCAUAUACAAAUCCAUUAAAAAUAUGAAUUUAUUGUAACAAUAUAUCAGGGAAUACGAAGAUAUUCACUGGUUAUGAGUAUUUCAGUCGGUAUACAAGUUUACUAUGUAUAACCAAUGACAUGAAAGUACGCAGUCGUAUAUACCUGCCGGUAUAAAUUAUAUAUCAAGGGAUUCCUGUUAACGAUACUUUUUUGUACAUUAAUCGUAUGCGUUAGUACAUCUUCCUUUGUAUUAUGUCCACAUGAUUAGUUGUUGUUAUUACGCUAUGUAAAACUAAAUGUCAUUGAUUUACCGCCUUUGUAUAUUACAGUACAACAAGCUCUCUUUCUCCUUUCUAUUUUACGUAGAAAAAUAAAUCAUUUAUAUCUCACAAGAAUCA